CCAAAAAAAAAAAAAAAAAAAAGUUUAGUGUUGAAGAAAUGAAUGCCAGGCAUCUUGUAAAGUUGGCACUCAACUCUGCAUUGGAGAGAAGUUCUAGAAAGAAAGCCUUGUCGGCAGAAAGUGAGCUGCACUUUUGAUGUGUGGACUUGUUUGCCAUGUUCCAGUGACCUGCAUUCUGUUAGUGAAGGAACCUUGGGUUUCACAUGGAUUGUCUCUAGAAGCUGUAAAAGGCCGUUGGCCUUUAUAGUAUCGGUAGACUUGAAGUGUUUAAUGAUAAAAAGCGAAUGAUAAAUGGUAAUAUAGGAACAUUUUCUAAUGGGUGGGUGCUUCAGGUUUUUCUAAUCUCCCCCACUUUUAAAAAGGAAGAUUAGCCUUGAAAUUAUGACAAGAAUGAGAGAGUCUGGUGUGAUUUUUUUUUCAUUUGCUUUCCAAAAAUAAACAAAACCCUUGUGAAUUUGAAAAUGUUAAGGUGUGCAAGCAUUUUAGAACUUUAUUCCCAUUAAUUAUCCACCUUUAAUCAGUUUAAAAGCCUGAAGAUUAAAAUCUAAUAUUGGUAUUUUUGACAUACCUUUCUACCAACAGUUGUCUCAUGACCAGUGGUUCUCAACCUUCCUAAUGCUGUGACCCUUUAAUACAGUUCCUUAUGUUGUGGUGACCCCCAACCAUAAAAUUAUUUUUGUUGCUAAUUCAUAACUGUAAUUUUGCAAUUAUGAAUUGUAAUGUAAAUAUCUGAUGUGGAUGUGCAGGAUAUCUGAUAUGGGACCCCUAUGAAAGGUUGUUCAACCCUCACAAAGGGGUCAUGACCCACAGGUUGAGAGCCAUUCAUUGCUCUUGACUCUAGCACAAAAGUCUGUUCUAUUGACAAUUAAACCAAGGGCCUCUGCAUAUUCUACAACCAAAUUGUACCUUGAAUUGCCUUUUUAUUUUAUUUCAGUUUUAUUUUUCAGAUACUCCAAGUUGUACAGGCUAGCCUUGAAAUUAUUAUCUUCCUGGUUUAGGCUUCACAGGGAUUAUAGGGCUGUGCUACCUGGCCCAUUUUUUUCUCUGCCUCCACAAACAAACAGGGACACCAACUUUAAUUUUUUUUUUUUUUUCGAGACAGGGUUUCUCUGUAGCUUUGGAGCCUGUCCUGGAUCUCUCUCUGUAGACCAGGCUGGCCUUGAAUUCACAGAGAUCAGCUUGGCUCUGCCUCCCGAGUGCUGGGAUUAAAGGCGUGCAUCAUCGCCGCCUGGCCACUUAAAACUUUUGUUGUAGGGGGAUACAUGUGGAGGUCAGAGGCCAAAUUGGUGUUAGGAGACUUUACCUGGGGGCUGGAGAGAUGGCUCAGUAGUUUAUAGCACUGGCUGUUCUUCUAGAGAACCCUGGUUCAAUUCCCAGCACCCACAUGGCAGCUCACAACUUCCUGUAACUCCAGUUCCAGGGAAUCCAACACCCUCACACAGAUACACAUGCUGGCAAAACAGUAAUACACAUAAAAUAAAUUAUUAAAAAGAAACCUUUACCUGCUGUACCAUCUUGCUGUCUUCCUUUAUCCUUAUUCCUUAUCUUUCUACUUCCAUCUCUGUGAUUUUAUGCCUGGCUGGUCUGGCUUUCUUGGGCUACAUUUUUAAUUUCCUUUAUAAACUUUUGAUUUUGGAAGGUUUUUUGUUGUUGUUUGUUUUUCUUUUUAUGAGACAAGAUCUUUUUGUUAUUUAGCUCUGGCUGUCCUGGAACUCACUGAGUAGACCAGGCUGGCCUCAAAACUCAGACCUGAAUCCUGUGCCUCACAAGUUCUGGGGUUAAAUGCAUGUGACCAUCCAAGUGUAGUGGUUCACACCUUUAAUCCCAGCAUGAAGCAGGCAGAGGCAGGUGGAUCUCUGAGUUCAAAGACAGCAUGGUCUACAGAGUGAAUUCCAGGACAGCCAGGGCUGCAUAACAGAGAAAUGACCUUUUUUUUUUUUAAAAAAAAAAAAAAAAAGCAAAUGAAUGAAUGCAUAUCACCAUGCCCAUCCCUAUUUUGGAAUUUUUAAGCUGAUAAGAUAUGAAUGAUGAUGAAUCAUGCAUGUUCUCAAACUGAGCUGACGUGUGUGUGUGUGUGUGUGUGUGUGUGUGUGUGUGUGUGUGUGUGUGUAUGUGUGUGAUUUAUAAGAACCUUAACAUGGCAUUCUCUUAAACAGGUAUUUGUUGGGGUUUUGUUUGUUUUUUUCUGUUUGUCUGCCAAACUUUUAUAUUGUACUCAGGUUGCAGUAGAGAGCAAAGGCUCCGGGUUUAACAUAGGUUGAUUCAGGCUAGAGUGUUGUAAAGAAUGCCAACAUAUUCAUACAUGUUUGCCUGCUGCUGGGUCUGGUGGUGCAGGCCUGCAGUCCUAGGUACUCAAAGAGGUUAAGGCAGGAGGAUGGGAAGUCAAGCCCAGGUUAGGCAACUCUAUGAGACCUUGCUUCAAAAUGAAAUUUAAAGAGGUAUAUAUGGCUUAGUCUGUGUGAGGACCUAGAUGCAAAAAAAUAGAACCUUGUUCAGCUCUCCAGACCAUAGCUGUAAUUUAUACAUAGGAAUUAUUAGUAGUUGGGUUCUUGCCACAGAAAAUUGGCCAUUUGCUGUUUUAAAAUUAUUAUUUGUGCAUGGGGGUGGGACAUGAAUACCAUGGUGUUUGUGAAGGACAACUUGGAGUUGGUUCUCUCCUUUCAUUAUGUGGGUUCAGGUAUCUCAAACUCAGGUUGUCAGGUUUGGCAGGUACCUGCUGAGCCAUCUAGCUGGCAUGUCAAACUUCUGAUUACCCUGCUUCUACCACCUAAGUGCUAGGAUUACAGGUCUUCACCACCAUGAUCAGUGCCAGAUUUAAGGAUUUAUUUAUUUUUAUGUGUGUGGGUGUUUGGCUUGCAUGUAUGUGCAUGACAAAUGCUUAGUACUUGAGGAGGCCAGAAGACGGUGUGAGAUUCCCCUGGAACUGGAGUUACAGAUUAUCAUGAGCUUUCUGUGGGUUCUGGGAAUUGAACCUGGGUCUCCUGGAAGGGCAGCUAGUAACUCCUCUAACUCCUCUUCUCCCUUUCCUCUUCAGUCUUUUCUGUCACUAAGCACCAUAAAGUCAGGCCCCUUGUAUUGUUUCCAACUAUAUUGUCAAUGCAUAGUACAUAAAUAUUUUUGGAUUAAUGGAUCACUGUUUAUGGUGGGUUAGGUCUAAAGAAAGAUAUAAUAGGAUCAAAAUCUGAGAAAACCUACAGCAUUCCGCUGAAUUUUAGGUUGAAUUUUAAGCAAUUUAAAGUCAUAGGUGGUUUUGUGGGGAAGUGAAAUGGUGUUACUUGUGCUUUAGAUGAAGAAUCUGGAAGUAAAAUACAGGCAAGAUUUCAUUUGAGAAAUACCAGCGUCAAACCCAAGAAUAAUACUUCUCAAGACAUAUUAUCAAGAGAGAACCACUAAGAAGGCUAUCAUGUAAUAUCAUAAAAGAUACCCAUUCCAACAAAUGAACAAUUCUCAACAUAAAAAACAAAAGAACAAUGAAAAGCACCAAAACAAAAUAAAAAACCCAAACAGUUAAAUGAACUAAAAGCAACACAGGAUCUAAAAGAGAACUGGACAGAAAUCAUGGAGGAAACAAGUAGCUCUCAAGAUCAAAUAGAAAAAUUAGCUGGGAGCCUUUAUAACAAAUUAGAUCAAACAGAGCUUGAAGACAGAUCAUCUGAAUUGUUAGUGUCAGACAGAACAAAAGAAAAAAAGAUGAAGAGAAAAUCCAAGAGCUUUAGGAUACUCUUAAAAAACUCAAAUAUGCCAUGUGGUGGGUGGUGCACGCCUUUAAUCCCAGCACUUGGGAACAGAGCGAGGGGGAUCUCGGUGAGUUCGAGGCCAGCCUGGUCUACAGAGCGAGAUCCAGGACAGGCACCAAAACUACACAGAGAAACCCUGUCUCAAAAAACAAAACAAAACACUCAAAUAUUUGAAUCAUUGGCAUACCUGAGAAAGAAGAACUACAGGUUGUGGGCAUAAAAACAAAACAAAAACCAAACAAACAAACAAACAAAAAAAAACAAAAAACUCAGUAAAAUAAUAAUGAAAACACCCCAAAUCUUUGGAAAGACAUGGACGUCUAGGUACAAGAAGCAUUUGGAGUCUCAAACACACACGACCAUAGAAGUAAUAGUUAAGUUGUUAAAAGUACAGAAUAAAGUUUCCAAGAGAGAAAUGUCAAGUAACAUGUAAUAGCAAAUACAUCAGACUAACUGCAGUUUCCUUAGAACUCUGAAAGCCUGGAGGGGAUGGACUGAUGUAUUUCAGGUCCUGAAUGAACAUUACUACCAACCCAGAUUAUACCCAGCCAAGUUGUCCUUCACAGUUGAAAGAGAACCUUCCAGGAUAAGGAUAAAUUAAGGGAAUUCAUGGCCACUAGAAGACACUUACAAAAGAGGCUAAGGGAAUCCUAUACCCAGAGGAGAAAAAAUUUAGUAAGCACUAUCAUUGAGAAUGUGAAUAAGUUCCACUAGAAAAAGAUAUGCCAAUGAGGAAUAAGAAAAAUUACUAAUAUAAAUAAUUGAAUUUAUAAGAUAUAGGGAGAUAUAAGCAAACUAUAUUCAAAGCUACUUGAAGAAAAUCAGAAUAAGAUGUAAAUUUAUAUGACAAGUAUUCAAACAGCACCUAAUUUUAUAAAAACAAAACACUACUAGACAUAAAAAGAUUUAAGGCCCCAGUAUAACACUGAUGACUUUAAUACCAAGAAUAACAUUGCAUAACUGGAGAAAACAUCCCAAAAUUCAUGUAAGCACAAAAUAUUUCAAGUAGCUAGGGAAAUCUAAGCAAAACUGUAUUGGAACCAAAAUAAGAUGUAAGGAAAACACUUCAGGAUAUUGGCACAGACUGAUUUCCUAGGUAAGACUUCAAAAGUAGAGAAAACAAGAAAUGAUGCCUGGAAUUACACCUAAAAGUUCUGCCCAACAAAGCAGAUAGUCUUCACUCUGCCAGCCUAUAGAAUGCAAAGGUCUGUGGUGAUUUGAAUGAAAAUGGCCCCCACAGGCUCAUUAUAUUUGAAUACUUGGUCCCCAGUUGGAACUCUUGGGGAAGGAUUAGGAGGUGUGCCCUUGUUGAAGGUGUGUACUGGAGGUAGGCUUUGAGGUUUCAGAAGACACUGCCAUUCCCAGUGUGCUCUUUGCCUCUUUCUAGUGGUUCAAGAUGUGAGCUCUUAACUGUUUUGCUGCUAAGCCUUUGCUCUGUCAUCGUGGAUUCUAACCCUGUUGAACCAGGGCCGAUUAAACUCUUUUGUAAGCUGCCUUGGUCAUGGUGUUUCAGAAUAGUAAUAGAGAAAUAGGUAAUACUUGGUCUUUAUCAUCUACUCAUUUUAUAGGAGAUUAUAUAAAGAACAUAUAAAAUUAACACAUAGUUUAAAGGAUGUGACAGUCUGAAUAGAUACCAAAGAAGAAAUACAACUAGCUAAUAACUUUAUGGGAAAAUAGUCAUUUAGUCAUCUGGCAAAAGAAAACUACAAUGAGAUUCCAUUACUGCUCAUUCUAGAGUUGAGAAAUAAUUUUUUUUAAAGAUAGAAUUUGGAGAAAAGGAGCUCUUAUCAUGCAUGUACUGUUAGGAGUAAAUUAAUACAGCCAGUAGCCAGUGUGGAACAUAGUAAGGAGGUUUCUUCAAACAUGAAGGAUAGAAUGAUCAUAUCAAUUAGCUAUCACAUUUCUGGGUUUUCAUCGUAAAAAUGAAAUCAGCAUACAAAAGGAAUAUGUGCUUGCUUACUGACAUUUGCCAUAGCCAAGGUGUGGACUCAGCCUAUGUGCCAGUCAGUAAAUGGAUGAAUAUAGUAUGUAAACAGCAGUGUUAUUGCUAUAGCAAGAUUCAUCACAUGCAUUAAAAUGGUGGUAGUAGAAGACAUGGUAAGUGAAAUACUUACAGUGUUUUCUUUUAUAUAUAAAUAGAAAAGGACUUGAAAUUAGAAGUACUAUUAGGGACUGGAAAGGGGAUCAAGGGGAAACAGGGAGAGUUUAGAAGGUUAGUAGACAUAAUAUAGUCAUGUAUGGAGAUGCCACAAUGAAUCCCAUUUCCACAGUUUUAAUAAUAAAAUGGGUCAGAAAUGAAACAGUAUAUUCCAGUUCUGUAUUAUGCUAUAUAUAUUGGGGGGGGGGAACCCUGAAGGUGGAAAAUAGUAAUAUGUGGUUUUGAGAUAUUUUUAGAUUCAUUUUUAAUUUUGUGUAUGAGUAGGGUUGUGUGCAUAUAAGUGCAGGUGACUGGAGGGCAGAAGAGAAUAUCAGAUGGAGUCAGAGUUAUAGGCAGCUGUGGGUGCAAGGAAUCUAACUCUUAUCCUUUGCAAGAGCAGUAUGUACUCAUGCUCUCUUACCAGUUCUGGGUUUUUGUAGUGUUAACUGAUGUGUCUGACGUGUCUUGCUGCUAUUUAUUUUUAAAUGGUUGGGUUUCUUACCUUUAGCAUACUAAGGUAUAAAAUAGAAUUGUAGCUGAAGUUUUCCUGUGUCCACCCCGUUCCUGCAGCCGCUCAGACCCAAGUAAACACACAUAGACUUAUAUUACUUAUAAACUGUAUGGCCGUGGCAGGCUUCUUGCUGGCUAGAUCUUACACUAAAUUAACCCAUGAUUCUUAUUUAUGUUUAGCCACGUGUCUUGGUACCUUUUCCCAGUUCUGCCUUCACAUCUUGCUUCCCAUGGCGGCAGUGGCUGGCAACAUCUCCUGACUCAGCCUUCCACUUCCCAGAAUUCUCCUCUCUGCUUAUCCUACCUAUACUAUACUUCCUGCCUGGCUACUGGCCAAUCAGCAUUUUAUUUGUCAAUCAAUCAGAGCAACAUAUUCACAGCAUACAGAAAGACAUCCCACGGCAUAGAAUUAUAGUUGUUCAUAAUUGAGGGAAAUUGGGAUUUGUUAUGCUGGAAGAGGGAAUUCUGGCCUGUGGGCCCAAUGGACAUAAUUUGAUGUGUCUUGAGUAAAUGUGGGUUUUUACAGAGGAUAAACUAAAUAAAGAUACAGUACAGAGGAAAGACUAUGUAAGAAAAAACACUAGACACAGCAGUCAUUUACAUGUGUGGUCCAUAUUAAAGACCACUAAACUUCACAGAAUUAUUUUAUAUUUAUUUUGAGACAGGGUCUCUAUAUAGUCCUAACUGUUCUGGAAUUCACAGUGUAGACCAGGUUGGCCUCAAACUCAGAUCUGCUGGCUUCUGCCUCUUCAGUGUUGGGAAUAAAGGCAUGUGCCACUAUGCCCAACUCUGCUCAGGUAAUUUUAAUAAGCACCUCAUCAGACUUUAAUAGGAAGCUAGUAACAUAGCUGAUGGCAGAUUUGGCUUAUUGUUACUAAAAAACAAGCUAACACAAACUAAUUUUGUGUCUGUUGUAUAUCUCUUGAGUUACAGGGAAAAUUAACACUCCUUGGUUGGCUGACUUCAGUUUAUCAAUGUAAGUUUAUUUUGUCAGUGAAAUAGAAUACUUUUCAACAUUUUUUUUUCUUUUUUUUUUUUUUUCGAGACAGGGUUUCUCUGUGUAGCUUUGCGCCUUUUCCUGGAACUCACUUGGUAGUCCAGGCUGGCCUUGAACUCAUAGAGAUCCGCCUGGCUCUGCCUCCCGAGUGCUGGAAUUAAAGGCGUGCGCCACCACCGCCCGGCGUCUUUUCAACAUUUUAUAGACAAACUUGAAGAACUCAUCAAGUACAAUGUCUUUUGUUUUGUUUUGGACUUGUUUUCUAUUAAAAAGACAAAACUUAUUCAUUAUAAAGGUUCAUGUGACACCCAGUCUUUCUAGCUAUACUUCUCCCCCACACCAAGUUCCUCAAGUUAGAGCUUAUGUCUUCUCAUAUUUGAAUUUUUAGUGCUUAUCAAAUAUAAGAAAGUACUCAGUACAUUAUUGAGUUUUAAUGACUAGCAAGUAACUGUAGAAAGUUAUCACCACUAUAUUUCUUGCAUCUUUGAGCUGUGGUCUUCAUGUGUAAUAUGGGCUGGCCUGGAAUUGAAUGUAUGUCCCAGACUGGCCUCAGACUUGCAGCAUUCCAGCUGCUGCAGCAGCUCUGCACCACCUAACAAUCACCAGUAAUGAAAUGGACCAAGUCUCUCUCCACCUAGACUUUCUGUUUCAUACCCUUAAAUUAGGUCUGCUAUCCCUACCCCCUCAAAUAUUUCAGUGCAAUUUUCCCUUUCUAUAUUCAAAACUUUUAUCAAAGUAACAUCUCUAUUAUAGUUUAGAUGUCUGUUAAACUUUCCCAGGUAAAGAUACAUAAUUUCAUACAUCAGUAAAGGGAAAAGAAAGUCAUUUUCCAAAGAGGGCUUGAAGAUAAGAUGAAGCAAACAUCAGACAAUUAGCAGUAAACACUCUGCUUCACUGGGGCUGUGGCCUAGUGAGUCAAGGAGCAUGCUUAUUGAACAAGCAUGAGGACCUGAGUUUGGAUCCCAGUACCUGUGAGAAGUUAGGUGUUGCCAUGAGUGCUUGUAACUGGAGAAGAUGUGGGUAGCUCAUUGGCCAGCCAGCCUGCCUAACUGAAAAAUUAAGCUCCAGAUUUAAUGAGAGACCUUAAGUGGAUAAGGACAGAGUGUCUGUGCACAGAUAAACACAUGCAGACAUACCACACAAAAUAUUCUGCAGAAGGAGAGGCUAGUAGGACCUGUGCAUCAAAAAGUCAGCCUUCAUUCUAGUACUGAUGCUCCUCACUAGCCCUGAGACCAAGGCUAGUUCCUAUACCUCCUUUGCUACCUCAUGUAAAUAAGAAGGCUCUAGAACCUGUAAAAAUCCAUUUUUUUCUGUUUCUAUGGUCUUAAGACUUAAGCCUUUUCUACCCUCUUUUUCUGUAUUGUGCUUUCACUAAUACACACGAACUUGUUUCCUGAAUCUGUUUCUCAGGUGGGAUUCUAAGCUGGGUAGCUAGGUUGUUGAUUUUUGGGCAGUUUCCCUCAUUACAUGCUUAGGAACAGAAAUUGCCCUUUCAGGACAGAGCUUGUUCUAUAUAACUCCCAUGCUAACUCUACCACUAUUUCUUCACCCUUUUAGUGAACUUAGAGUGAAUGGUUUUACAUUUCACACUCUCUACCUGGCUGAUCUACAAUCAGUAACCAAGGAUUUUUGAACAGCUGCAAUGUAAAAAUCACCGUAAUUCAAGGUUUCCUUUCUCAUCCAUAAAGAACUUCUAACUUAUGUUUCUUUCCCAAUUUUAUCACUUUCUUUAACUUUUUUUUGACAGUCUUUAUAUAUAUCCCUGGCUGACCUGUUAGUAGCUGUGUAUGUGAAGGAGGUUUCCAACUCUACAGCAGUUUUGUCUCAGCUCCCCUAGUACUCAAUUUAAAGGUAUAGAGGUCACCAUGCUUGCCCGCUCCUGCUCUUUUUUUUUUUUUUUUUUUUUUUUUGCAGAGUGUUUUAGUUACUGUUCUAUUGCUAUGAAGAGACACCAUGACCAAGGCAAUUCUUAUAAAAGAAGGAAUUUUAUUAGGGGCUUGCUUAUAGUUUUUGAGGAUUAGUUCAUGAUCAUCAUGAUGAGAAGCAGAUAGGCAUGGCACUGGAGUAGUAGCUGAGAGCUUUACACCCUGAUCUGUAGGCAGUAAGCAGACAGACACAGAGCCUGGUAUGGGCUUUUGAAACUAAAAGGAAGUAUUAGUGGUAGCUUCAUGUUAUUUGGGAUGAGAAGUCAAAAAAAUUUUUUUUCACUAAAACUAACCAAACAACAAAACAAAUAUUAAUCGAGUUUGUAUAUUUUCUUCAGGAGAAGGACAUGAAGCUUUGAAGAUAAGAAAAUUAGUAUUUUUAGCACUACUUAAUUUAUUGUUUUCUUCAUAUGUGAGAAAAGUAUUAAAGUAUAUAAGAAGACAUUGUCUGAAUGUAAACAAACUCAAGGCUUACAGGCACAAGAAGGGAGAGUCUAAAUUGUCUCAAAGAUAUGUGCAGUUGGAGUGAAUCCAGAUCCUCAGAUACAUGUGUGUGUACCUUGGUGUAUAAAACGUUUUCAUCUGAGAAUGCCCUCAAACAUAAGAAAGCUGAACUUGCACUUAGUACAGACUCUAAAAUCAUGUGGCUCCUUCACUCAGGAUCUGAUGCUGUCAUCACCCUGGAUACUGUGCCAGUGGCUGACUGAUUCCGGUGUCAGGACAGUGCUUUACCACAUCUCCUGCUAGGAAAUUUUGGAAGCUGAGAGGGUUUGAGUGGAAGAAGCCCUUAGAUUAGAAGACAACCUGUUAUUCUUAGAUCCUGUGAGUGCAAAAGAUUCUUUCACAAAUCUACCUUAUCCUGGACGUACUAACAGUGUACAAAAUUUUCCUGCUGUUCUAUGCUCCAAUGUGUGUUCCACUGUGUCUGUAUGUGCAUGAUAUUCUCAAUAGUUGCAUGUGAAAAAUGGAGGGACAUUAUAAUAUUAAAUAAGUCAUAUUACCUUUUAAUUUGUUUUUAUAUAGGCAAAAAGUGCCCAGAAUGAUACUGAGUCUAUAUGACAAGAUAAACCUUGAGAGUUAGAAUUGGGAACAGUGUUUUGGUUUUGGUUUUUGGUUUUUUGAGACAGGGUUUCUCUAUGUAUCCCUGGCUGUCCUAGAACUCACUGUGUAGACCAGAGAUGCACCUGCCUCUGCCUCCUGAGUACUGGGGUUAAAGGUGUGUGCCACUGCCCAGCUGGGAACAGUGUUAUUUUAAUUAAAAUGUAAUACUUCAGUUUUUAAUAAAAAACUUACAUCAAUUAUACAUAUUAUUUUUCAUUUAGUAAUUUUGAAUAUGGGAAAACUACUUAAAAUACAAUUACAUUCCAGUUUUAAUUGAGAUUAUAGUUACCAGUAGGACAUAAAUUAUGUAAAAUCCUUAGUAGUGUGGUAACUUCAUUUGAAGUUAGUCAUGUAGUAUUUAUGAAUUAUAUACUUGUAUCACCUACAUUGUCACUCCAGUGGAAUACUCAGACAUUGCCAGAGAUAAGGAGAGUCUAUUAUCUUAUUGCCAUGUGAAAACUGCGUCUUGCACCUUUUCAGCUUGGAUAUUGUGCAUGUGUGCUUGUCAAAGUGGUGGUACAGGACAUGCUUGAAGUCUGUUGCCUUAUAUCUUAGGGUUUUUAUUGCUGUGAAGAGUCACCAUGACCAUGGCAACUCUUUUUUUUUUUUUUUUUUUUUUUUUUUUUUUUGGUUUUUUGAGACAGGGUUUCUCUGUGUAGCUUUGCGCCUUUCCUGGAUCUCGCUCUGUAGACCAGGCUGGCCUCGAACUCACAAAGAUACGCCUGCCUCUGCCUCCCGAGUGCUGGGAUUAAAGGCGUGCGCCACCACCGCCCGGCCCAUGGCAACUCUUAUAAAGGAAAGCAUUUAAUUGGGGCUGGAUUACAGUUCAGAGGUUUAGUCCAUUAUUGUCAUGGAGGGAAGCAUGGUGGCACACAGGCAGACCUGGUGCUGGAGAGGUAGCUGAGAGUUCUGUAUCUGGAUUCUCAGGGAGCAGGGAGAGAAAAUGAGCCACUAGGCCUGGCUUGAGCUUCUGAAACCCCACAGUAAUACACUUCCUCCAGCAAGGUCACACCUAUUCCAAUGUCACUCCCCAAGAGUCUAUGGGGGCCAUUUUUAUUCAGACCACAACAGCUUAUAUAACUUACAUGCUGUACUGGCUGAUUUUGUGUGUCAGUUGACACUAGCUAGAGUCAUCAGAGGAAGGAGGCUCCAUGAGAUCCAGCUAUAAGGCAUUUUUUUCAUUUAGUGAUUGAUGGGUGAGGGCCCAGCCCAUGGUGGGUGGGGCCAUUCCUGGGCUAGUAGUCCUCGGUUCUAUAAGAAAGCAGACUGAGCAUGUCGUGGGAAGCAAGCCAGUAAGCAGCACUCCUCCAUGGCCUUUGCAUCAGCUUCUGUCUCCAGGAGCCUGCCCUCUUUAAGUUCCUGGCCUGACUUCCUUCAGUGAUGAACAGCAAUGCUGAAGCAUAAGCCAAAUAAAUAAACCCUUUCCUCCCCAACUUGCUUUUUGGUUAUGGUGUUUUGUUGCAGCAAUAGAAACCCUAAGACAAAUUGGUACCAGUGUAAUGGAGUAUUGCUGUGACAGAUCUGACCAUGUUUUGGGGAGGAUUGUGAAAGGACUUUGGAACUUUGAGUUAGAAGAGCCAUUGAGUGUUAAAAGCUCUGUGAUAUUCUGUGUAACUUGGAAGAUAAGAAUGUUAAGAGCAGUACAGAAGAUGGAGGCCUGGCUUGUGAAGUUUCAGAGGGAAGUUUAAAGACUCUAUCGGGGCCAUUUGUUAUUUUGAAUUAAGAUCCUGUGGUUCUGCUUAACUGGGGCUGAAGAAUCAGCUGUGAUUAACAAGAUACCAGAACUAGUAAGGCAAAAUUUUGCUUUGCUGGGAUACCUGAUGCUGGUCGGCUGGAGCUAAGAAUUAAGCAGCAAUUAAGAGGUAAAAUCUUCUGGGAAGUGUUUCCUGAGAGCACAGAGAAGCUGUUCCAGAGGUAGUCAUGGUUAUACCUUGUGCUGGCAGCUGGACUUGGUAAUGUGUAAACAUCACCCUGGUGGUCCUGGUUUUGAAGGCAUGAAGGAGACAUGGAGAACAGCUGAGGCAUGUUACUGUGAGAGGCCAGGAGAAGCCAUUGGUAAAGGUAUAGCCUCAGUGGCAGUUGAAGGCCUAGGACUGAAGGGGUCAUGUAAAGAAGUUGGCACCAUGAAGAGAGCCUAUGAGAGGCUAUUGGUGAAGGUGCAGCCUCAGUGGCAGUUGAAGGCCCAGGAUUGAAGGGGUCAAUGAAGCGAAGUUGAGGCUUGGCACCAUGAAGAGAGCCUAGGAGAGCCUAUUGGUGAAAGUGCAGCCCAGUUGCAGCAGAAGACCCAGCAUUUUGGAGAUGCCAGUACCAUGGGAUGACCACCAAGAACAGCAGCAGCAGUAGAGUGGAGCCAGCUGGAGCCUAGAAGACAAGUUGUGUGUGCUGCAGAGGAAGAGCCGGAGAAGUGACCCAAGCCCUUUGGAGGAGCCCAGAAGAUGAUAGGAUUUCUCUGUGUAACAACCCUGGCUGUCGUGGAACUUGCUUUGUAGACCAGGCUACCCUGGAACUCACAGAGAUUCAGCCUGCCUCCCAAGUGCUGGGAUUAAAGCCCUGGAGUCCCUGCCCGGAGGUCUACUAAUGACGUAGCACAGCAGCGAGCCUGCCACUCACUCGGUGUUUUCAUGUUCAAUUCUGCCAGUAUCCUGUUAGCCCCUGCUGUGUGUCUGUCCUGGGCUUUCCUCUUAAACCUCCAGGCCCUGCCUGGCUGUUCUGUAGACACUGCAGCUGCCCUGAACUAAGCCUGCUGACCGCUUCAGGCUUCGGCCGCACAGACUUGAAUGAAACAAGGCUGAGACAAAACAUCUACGAUGUCAUUGCUAGCCUUUAGUAUCUGUGUAUAAUGUAUUUAUAAGAUAAAUAUUUACUGUGUAUGUGCUUUUAUUAUAACAUGGAAUGCAAACAAUUCAGCAAUCCCUCAUCUAAGAAGAACUGUGGUCUGGUUAGAGUUACUGGUCACGAGAGAGCUGAUUCCAGUGAACCUAUGGCAGGGCAAGCUUUUUGCAGAGCCAGCCAUUCAGUAUCUCCAUCUUUUGACAAACGGCUGUGGUUCCAUGAGGAUACAGGCUAACGUUGGUUGUCAGCUUGCCUAGGUCUGGGAUCAAGUGACAGGCAAAUUGAUAGACACCUGUGAAGAAUUUCCUUGAUCAAAUUAACUGAAAUUAAAAGACUCAUCCUAAAUGUGGACUGCACCUUCCUAUGGCAACCCAGCUCAGAUACAAGGAGGUUCAAGAGAGCUCUCCCCCACUUCCUGUUACUGGGGAGUUCAUCUGUGUUGCUGCUUCUCCUUCUGCUGUAUUCCUUCACUGACAUCAGACCCCAGCUUCUUCAGACUUCCAUUGUGGUCUGAAGACCAGUGGCUCUCCGGAAUCCUCCAGGCCUUUGGCACCAGGUUGAGACUGUUGUGGUACAAGCCUCAUGGACUGUAGAGCUAUGUGUCUCAGCCUCUCCAGUGUGUCACAGCCAUUGGAGUACCCACAGCAUACGGAAUAAGCCUAUCUAAUCUCCUUAGCACGUGUUAAUUUUUAUCAGUUCUGUUCCUGUAGAGACCCCUAGUACCCAGACCUAUCAUUGUGCCACUUACCCCACGCCAUGAGGAGAACAAAGCCUUACAGAGGGCCAGAGAUGGCAUCACAGAGGAAAUGAGGUCGAGCUGACAACUAGCUAAGUGUGUAACAGGUAGAUGAGGUGCUAGAGAUGGGAGGACAAGGAAUGAGAGGACGGGUCGUUCCAAAAGAGGGAAUAGGUGCAAAGGCUGAGCUGUGUUAAACCCUGGCUUAUCCAGUGACCCAAGUAUGGCAUAUACAGUAGAUACAGUAUGCACAUUAUAUACAGUAUAUACGGUACAUCUCUGGGAAUGUAGGUGGGUGGGAACCAGGCAUCUCCAACACCUGCUUGAUGCUUAGACCUUCAUCCUUCACCAAGUUGGAAAUACUUUCUCCAUCCUUCAAAUGCCACAGCUCUCUAGAUUUACUUCCUCUGUGAAGCCUCUUUAAAUUAUGUACCAAAUAAAUGGGUACUUGAUUUUAUUCUUGGGCAUUUUUGUUUGUGAGACACUCUCAUGUAGCCCAGGCUAUCCUGAAACUUGCUGUGUAACCAAGAAUAAUCUUUAACUUCUGCUCCUCCUACUUCUACCUCUGGAAUGCUGGGAUUAAUGUGCUGUCAUGUCUGGUAUAUAUGGUUUUAGGGAUUGAACCCAGGGUGUUUUGUGCAUAAUAGACAAGCACUCUACCAAUGAGCCACACCCUUGGCCCAUCAUCUUGUUUUGUAUAUUCCUGUUCAAAAUUUCAUGACAAAUCCCACCUCCCACCAAACUAUAAACUCCUUGAAGACAGGGACUGUGAUUCACAUUUGUUUUUCAGUUCUUCAGGCACCCAGUCCCAAAACCCAGUGUUGCUGUGUACGACUCAUCGAAGUAAUGCUGGCCUGGAAUUUCUUGAAGUCCAAGUCCUGAAUACCCAUGGACCUAACACAUCCAGAAUCCUUAUGCAAACUUUACUGAGAGGUAAAGUUGAAAAGUUCUUUCAAGGCACUGAACUUCAUUCAUCCUUCCGUGAGCACCUAGGAGAGUGGCUAGUCACCUUCUUAGGCAGCUCACACAUGUCAGAAUGGCUGUGUCUGCCUAACUCAGGAUCACAGGUCAUCAGGGCAGUGAGGGACAAGGUGUCCUGCCUUCCAGCUAUCCUUGAGGAGGAACACUAGCUUGAGCAGUUGACCAGAUCAACCCUGGAACAUGAAUUUGCUUUGAGAGAAUUCUACAUUCUAGGCUGCCUCCUUCAGAAACAGGGAGGGGAAUGCUUGAAUUUGUUGGGAGAGGUGAGUAACAGCACAAACAUACAAGUGGACCCCAAAGCUGACUCCAAAAGAGAACGGGAGGGAAAUGAUGGGGAGAAACAGUUGUGUCUAGUAGCAGACACCACAGAGGUCUGACCUCAGAGCCUAGAGCUGAUCCAAGCUGAUAGUUCAUCUACCCUUUCUGAGCCUCUGUAAAAUGAGAGAAAUAAUACUUGAAUGUCACUUUUAUUUAAGGAUUACAUGUAUAUGAAAGAAUUUUACAAACAGAAGAAUGCUGCCUGAUUAUGAAAUGAUUAUGAAUUCACCUAUCUGAUGUCAUUGUUCAGACACCUACAUGAUGUGUGUAUCCUUGGACCUCCCCAGAGUUAUUAAUGAAGGCGCAUACCCUGCAAGGUGCAGCAUCGUGUGUGUGCAGGCCAGAGGAGGAAAUCCUCUUUGCCUUAUUCCUAGAGACAUUCUUCUCCUGUAACUGGAAGUUUCUUGGUCCCACCCAGCCCCAUGGUUCCACUGCCAUUUAUAAAAUAAUCACUCAGAGGCUUAUAUUAAUUACAAAUUGUAUGGCCUAGCUUCAGCUUCUUGCUAGCUAGCUCUUUCAUCUUAAAUUAACCUAUUUCUAUAAAAUGGCCAUUGUGGCCGUGGUGUUACCAGUCUGCAGGUCUGCUGGCAUCUUGUUGCUGCUUCGGUGGUGGACUGGCUUGUUCCCGACUCCACCCUUCUACUCUCUGUAUCUCUGCUUAGAUCUCUCACCUGACUGUGAGCUUUCUUGCCAUAGGCCAAAACAGCUUUAUUAUCCAGUGACAGCCACACAUAUUCACAGCAUACAGAAAGACAUCCCAUAGCACUCUCCCCCCAAUCUGUGAGGUUACAGGAGGUGGGGCUGAGUCUAGCUGGCAUUUCUACAUUUAUUUAUUUAUGGGGGGGGCAUACAUGCACAGCAUGCACGUGGAAGUCAGAGAAGAACUUGCAGGAGUCAGUUCUCCCCUCCUACCAUGUGGGCUCUAACAACUGAACUCAGGUUGUCAGGUUUGGUGGCAAGUGUCCUCACCUGUGGAGCCAUCUCGGUUGGCCUGAAGCCGAUGUUUUUAUAUAGAUGGUAGAGAUCUGAACUUAGGCCUGUAUGCUUGCACUGUGAGCACACUUACCCACUGAGUCAUCACCCCAGCCUGCCACAUAGACUUUAAAAAGAAAAAAAAAAAAAAAAAAAAAGACAAGGCCUUACUAUGUAGCCAUGGCUGGCCUGGAAUUGCCACAUAGACCAGGCUGACUGGCCUUGAACUCACAGAGAUCCCCAUGUCUCUGCCUUCCAAGUGCUGGGCCUAACAGUGUGUACUAUCAUGACAUCCUCCAUGUAACUUUUUAUAAUACUCGUCAUACAUGACUGCUGCCACACAGCUCAGAGAGCCACACAGUCAAGAGCCCCUUGACUCCAGCAGCCUGGACACUGACAGCUUGCAGCUCAGCUAAGACUUGCCCAGGAAUCUGACUGAGAGCUUUGCUCUACCUAGCCCAAACUGUGAGCCCAGGCUUACAUUAAAACCCCAUGGGCCACUGCCUCGGGGGUAACAGACCCCCAUACCCCUUAUUGUUCACCACCCCACUAACACAGAAUUACUGGCUAACUCUGGCUUGGCCUGGACUCCUGCUUCUACAGUGCUUAUUUUCUUUCGUUUGUUUCCGGGGGACCUUUGGCAUUUGCCCUCUGGCUGGGUCCUCACUCCCUUGUGUCACCAGGCCCUGGUGGUCAGUGCUGUGAUGAAUGGACUUCCUCAGGCAAGCAGGCAGUGACUGAAGCCCUGACAGCUGUGUGGCCUCAGCUUGCACCGCACUCCACAAGAUGAGUGUCACAACACCAGGCAGCAGUUCCUGAGGCAGUGAGGCCCUUUGCUUGAGCCAUGCCCUGUCAAGUGGCUGCAAUUUCAUUUGGCUGCUAAGUGGUUGGCCUGUUGCAUCACACUGCCUUGACCCCUUCAUUGUGCUAGGUUUUUUUUCAGGAAUAAUUGUGUGAGGAUGAUCAAGCUAUUUCAAAAUGACGGUUAUGAAUAGUGAAAACAAAAACGCUGCACAUUUCAGCAGGGAAACAUCUGUCCUCUUGCUGGUUUAGAGGGGGAGAGACCAAUGCAGCAGCCUAUGGCCCCAGUUCCUGAACCCUCGGUGGAGAGCAGGGUCAGUUUUAUUUUUAAAUUUACUUUAAAUUAACAUGUAUGUGUGUAUAUGUGUGCAUGAGAGACAGACAGACAGACAGACAGAUAGGUAGAUAGAUAGAUAGAUAGAUAGAUAGAUAGAUAGAUAGAUAGAUAGAUAGAUAGAUAGAACAACUUGUAAAAUCAGGAUUUCUUCUUCUAUUGUGUGAGUCCCAGAGAUUGAACUCAGGUCAGCAGGCUGAGCAGCAAGCUCGUUUACGUGCUGAGCCAUCUCAUUGACCUUCAUUUAACACAUUAAAAAUAUUUAUUUACUUUUAUGUGCAUGAGGGUUUGCCUCCAUGUAUGUAGUUGUAUACACCACAUGUUCCUGGUGCCCACAGAGGUUAGAGGAGGGAAUCAGAUCCCUUUGAACAGGAGUUAGAGACAGUUGGGAGCUGCAAACCGGACCCAGUUCUUCAGUUCCCAUUCAACACUUUUUUUAACUGAACGCAUGCUGUGUGCCAGGCACUGGGUACAAGAUAGUAAUCAAUAUAGACAGAAGGCUUGGCCUUCAUAAGGAAGACCUUCAGUGGUGAGGGUGGGAAGAAGAACCUGAGCACAGGACACUUGUCAGCACCCACAUGGCACCCAGCUGAGUAGGUCCUGUUUGAUUCCCACAUCCCAGACAUACAUGGUCAGGACUACUGUAUAGAAAGACCCCCUAGAUUCACUCCCAAAUCUUAAUGGCAGAUGUGUCCCAAUGAGCUAAGAGUUCAGCCUGUUGCCCAGGUGGUCUUCAUCUCCCCUGCCAGGGCAUCCUCUCUCUCUGUCUCUGUCUCUCCAGUCCUGACUGUGAACCAGCUGUUCUGGUCUGUACUGCACAGUGGCACGGCUAGCCAGCACACAGACCAGGACAGAACUGACAGCCUGGGCCUGUGGCAGAGAGGCAGGAGCAGCACCCCAAGUUAGAACAAGAGCAGUCCUAUCAGCCAUUGCCUUAUGUCCCCUGGGGCAAAACCACCUUCAAGCAAGAAGCUUCUGUUUUUUUCAGUCACUCAGUUUCUUUGACUGAGAAGCACUCUGAAUUUGUUUUUUGUUGUUGUUGAUGGUGGUAUUCUGUUUGUUUGAGACAGGUUUUCCUGUAGUUCAGGCUGGCCUUGAACUCCUCAUCCUCCUACCUCCCACCCCCCAAGUGGGGGUUAUAGGCAGCCACCAUAUGCCUGGUUCUGUCGUAGGGCUAGGCAUUGAGAACCCAGGGCUCAGUUCAUGCUAGGCAAGCACCCUGCCAGCUGAUUGGUCCACAUGACUUAUCACCUGUGCAACUCUGAACACAGGGAGAGCUAGACUCUAGUAAUGCCCAUGUUCUCUAUGUUCCUGGGCUCCGGGUGCUGCUCGAUCCUGCCCACAUUAUAUUGCCCAGCACUCUUCCUUUUGUUUCAGCAAAGCCUACUUGCCCAUCAUUGCCUAACUACUUUGCAUUUUGCAACCUGGGCCUUUGCUGGGUUUGCAUUCUUGUCUGGAUGUGUUUUCCCUGGUUUGCAGUUCACUCUCCUUAACCAGGCCGAGUGACUACGGAUGCCUCAGCCCUUUCUGCCUCUGAUGUGUGGCACAGGACCCAGAGCUCUGAGGUUUUAGAGCGUGGUCAUCUGGGUAUAAACUUUUUCUUCCUCAUGACCCCAUGGUCUCUAGAGCCUGGCAAAGUGUGUGGCAUACAGUAGGUGCUUAAUCGUGAUAAAAGAUGAAGUGGAAGUGAGUAGAGCACCAAAGUGGAGGAGAUAAAGAUGGAGGGAGGGAGAGCCCAGGCUCAGAGGAAGAAGGGGUGGGGGCUCUUCUUGUUGCAAUGCAGGAAAAGAUGGUUGACUACUCCCCCUUUGUUCCUUUCUC